UUUAAGGGGGUGUAAGCGGCACGCAGGGUUUUGGUCUCUGAAGUAUGGGUGCUUAGCCCUUUCUUAAAA
rnacentral:tRNA from 1 species